UACGGAGGGGACUAGCGUUGUUCGGAAUUAUUGGGCGUAAAGCGCGCGCAGGCGGUUCCUUAAGUCUGAUGUGAAAGCCCCCCGGCUCAACCGGGGAGGGUCAUUGGAAACUGGGGACCUUGAGUGCAGAAGAGAAGAGUGGAAUUCCCGGUGUAGCGGUGAAAUGCGCAGAUAUCGGGAAGAACACCCGUGGCGAAGGCGGCUCUCUGGGACGGUACUGACGCUGAGACGCGAAAGCGUGGGGAGCGAACAGG
rnacentral:rRNA from 1 species